rnacentral:tRNA from 1 species
GUCUUCGUGGUGUAGUCGUCAGCACACUGGCCACGUAUUCCAUAGGUCAGUGGUUCGAUUCCCGGCGAAGGCG